rnacentral:rRNA from 1 species
GAUGAACGCUGGCGGCGUGCCUAACACAUGCAAGUCGAGCGAUGAAGCCCUUCGGGGUGGAUUAGCGGCGGACGGGUGAGUAACACGUGGGUAACCUGCCUCAAAGAGGGGGAUAGCCUCCCGAAAGGGAGAUUAAUACCGCAUAAUAUUAGUUUUUCGCAUGAAGAACUAAUUAAAGGAGUAAUCCGCUUUGAGAUGGACCCGCGGCGCAUUAGCUAGUUGGUGAGGUAAAGGCUCACCAAGGCGACGAUGCGUAGCCGACCUGAGAGGGUGAUCGGCCACAUUGGAACUGAGACACGGUCCAGACUCCUACGGGAGGCUG